UUUCUAUUAGUAAUAAUUAAUAGUAAGAUCUGCUCAAUGAAAUUAAAUAGCCGCAUUCGUGCUAAGGUAGUAUAAUAAUUUGUCUUUUAAUUAAAGACCACACAAAAGAUUUAACUUUUAAGUUAAUAUCUUAACAUAAAUAUCUAAAUUAUUUUAAUUGUAAAAAAACAAUUUUAAUUAAAAAAGACGAUAAGACCCUAUUGAACUUAACUUUAGUUUAACUGGGGUAGUUGAUAAAUUAUCACUUUUAAAAAAAUAAAAAUUCCAAAGAUCUAAUAUAAUUAAUUUCAUGAUUAAGUUACCAUAGGGAUAACAGCGUAAUAAAAUUUUAAAGUUCUUAUUAAAAAUAAAGUUUACGACCUCGAUGUUGAAUUAAUAUACUAAUUACACGCAAUAGUGGAUUAAGUAAGUCUGUUCGACUUUAAAAUAAUUACAUGAUCUGAGUC
rnacentral:rRNA from 1 species